GACGAACGCUGGCGGCGUGCUUAACACAUGCAAGUCGAACGGAAAGGCCUCUUUCGGGGGGUACUCGAGUGGCGAACGGGUGAGUAACACGUUAGUAACCUGCCCUUGACUUUGGGAUAACUUCAGGUAACUGGGGCUAAUACCGGAUAGGAGCUCCUGCGGCAUGGUGGGGGUUGGAAAGUUUCUGUGGUUGGGGAUGGACUCGCGGCUUAUCAGCUUGUUGGUGUGGGAGUGGCUUACCAAGGCUUUGGCGAGUAGCCGGCCUGAGAGGGUGACCGGCAACAGUGGGACUGAGACAGGGACCAGACCCAUACGGGAGGGAGAAGUGGGGAAUAUUGCACAAUGGGUGGAAGCCUGAUGCAGCACCGCCGUGGGCGGGAUGACGGUCUAGGGGUUGGAAUCCGCUUUCGCUCAUACCGAAGAUUUGUGUGACGGUAGUGGGUAAAGAAGCACCGGCUAACUACGUG
rnacentral:rRNA from 1 species